UUUGUUUCAGUUCAAAAAAAUUAAACAAAUUACCAGGAAUCCUUGGGAACAUACAAGGUUAGAGACGGGAGGCUCAAGAGGUCCUGUUCGUGGAUGUAACUGCUUGUCGAACAGCAUCAUGGCAGCCGAUGCAAAUACUAAGCCUACAUGGUAAAGUAUUUCACGAGUUUUUUAUUUGUUUCUUGCUUGUUUCUAGUAUGCUUCUUGUGCUCUUCUGCAAAAAGAAGUUUGCUUGUUGUAUACCCAAAAAGACAAUGAGAGUAGCAUACCCUCUUCUUGCAGGAUUCCAUGUAGGUGGGAUCUUCCUCGUCAUCCUGCC
rnacentral:lncRNA from 1 species